ACCGAAGUUAAAAUCCAGAAAUCUUGUUUAAACGCUUCAAAUUCACACAUAUUAGGUUGUUGAAAUGUAAAAAUAAAGGGAAAUGGGAUUAUGGACCAAGAAUUCGAAGUACAGAAGAAGAUGAAACAUAGGAUAAAUGAAGCACAGAGAACGACAAAGCAAGAGAUGAAAAUAAAAAUCCAAAUGCGUGUUAAUCGAGCCGGAGAAGAAGAUGGAGCGACAAAGGAACAACAGGAAGCACGAGAUGAGAUGAGAUGAGAUGGAGAUGAAAUUCAAUAAAGAGAUGAGGUUAAGGAGAUACAAUGAAAGAGGGAGGCGGCCAUUUUCAUCGCUCCAGACAACAACAAUAAUGAAAGGCAAAUUACGUUUAGGCUUAGGUGAAAUUUCUCCAAGCCAAACCCUCUACCCAUGCUAAAGGUUAGGUCCGAGCAUUUUAUCUGGACCCGAAAUCUCGAACCGAUCCGAAAAUACCCGAUCGAAACCGAACCAAAAAUUUACAAGUACCUAUUGGGUCCAAAAUUCUUCCACCCGAAAGAACCAGAACCAAAAAAACCCGAAUAAACCCGGACCCGAAA
rnacentral:lncRNA from 1 species